CUGCCUGCCUUUCCAGCAGCUGGGAGUGGUAUAGGGGUGGGUGGGGCUGGGUCCCUAAUAUCCCAGCCUUCCGCAGCCCCCUGCCCAAGAAAAAAGCGGGCUGGGUGGAUAGAAGAGCUGGAUCCCACCCCCCCACACACACCGCAAAGAAAUAUUUUUUGGGUGAUGGUACAGGGCAGAACCAACCUUGGGAUCCUGGGAAUUCCCAUGGCUUCUUGUCAGAUAGGAGGGCAGCUUGUCAAUGCACGCGUGGGAUGGAGGGGCUGCCCCGUUCGAUGCCGGUCAGUACAACUCGCCUUUCUGUGUAGUUGCCCCAAAGAGGAGGGUGAACUGCUCCUGAGUAAUUAGCACACGCUAUUAUGGCAUCAUCAUUCUUGGAGACAGGAAUUGCAGAAGUGGCACUAUAGCAGUUGGUAAGAGAUUGAGAAAAGAUGCACCAAGAGACUUUUUGUGAAAUGGGCAGGGGGAUUGGAGGGACCCUAGUGUACAUGCUCCAUUGUGCAAGCCUGAAGGAGGCCACGUCUGUUGCCAACCCCCUGAAGUUAAUGUGAGGGGAAAAAUCUUCAGGCUCCACCUAGAGGACGGAUGGACAUCAAUUAAUUAAACAUAUAUAUAUCUUAUAUCAGUAGAAGAGAAUAUGUGUAGUUCAGGAUUGAACGGUGGAAUCCAUGGUGCUUUUUGAGCUUGAUUGUUUUCUUGCAGACAUUUCAUUACCUAACUAGGUAACAUCUUCGGUGCUCAAAGGGAGGGUUUCCCCCUCUUAUUUCUGUACAGCUAGGCCUCAACUUAUAGCCAUUCAUUUAGUGACCAUUCAAAGUUACAUUGGCACUGAAACCGUCAUAAGUGAGUCAGUUGCCAAGUGCCCAGGUUUUGAUCACAUGGCCAUGGGGAGGCUGCAGUGGUCAGAAGUGUGAAAAACAGAAGCCACUUUUUUCAAUGCCGUUGUAACUUGGAGCAGUCACUUAAAAAAAAUGGCUGUAAGUCGAGGACUACCUGCAGCCCAUCUUCAAUCCCAACUAACUUUCCGGGUUGUUGAAAGGAUAAAAGCAAAGGAAGGAAUUCAUGUUAAAAGUAAAAUAAAAAAAUAAAAGAUAAAUAAGCUUUUUAAGAAAGAGAUUGGUACAGAUAGUAGAAAGCUUGCUCCAAAAUUCAACUUUGAGAUUGGAAGCAAAUUUUUUAUGCUGGUCAGAGGUGGCUGGAAUAUAUUUACCUUUUAUGAAGCUUGGAGGUAGACCUUGAUGACCGAGUGAGGAUUUGAAUUUGGUUGUCUCUGGUCUUUAUCUCCCACUCUUGCCACUAUGUUGCCCUGAGUUGGGCAAUGGUCCAUCCAUUCCUGCAUCCCAGAAGAUGGCCAGCUAAAGAUGCUUGUGAAGAGGAAAGAAGAAGAGGGCUGGUCAAUAGAACAGGGGGAUGAGCACAUUUGACAGCUUAUUUCUUUCUCUUUCUUGGGCGGGAUUUCCUGGAGGGAUAUCCAGCAUGAUUUCUUUGAUGGAACAAAGGGAAAGACUGCAGGUUGUGAAUGAAAACCUGGGCCAAGAACCAGAAGAAAAGGAAAGCAAACAAGAUGCCCACGCAGAGGCUGGAAGGACUACAGAGAAUGAAGACUGGGAAGAAGAGGAAGAUGAAGAAGAAUCUCUAGUUGCCAAUGAGAGCCAGGAUCCCAAAGGUCCACUUUGAGGUCCCCCCACAAGUCCUGGACUGGGAGGAGGCGUGUGAGGCUCUACACAGCAGGAGUGUCCAGGAUGGGGACAGGAAAACCAGUCCCCAAGGGGAAAACACCGCCAGGGGGAGACAUUCCUGAGGUAACCAAUAUUAUUGUCUCAGCUUCCGUCGUGCGGGUACGAUCUCCCCCCCCCCCGAUUCUUUUGACUGCUGAUUGCGGGAAGCGAUUUACUCUGAGUUCCCACCUGAUCCGGCACCAGUGGGAACACAUUGGAGAGAGACCUUUUGGGUGCCGAUCCUGCACCAAGAGCUUCUCUCAGAGGUUGGACUUGGUGCGCCACAAGCGUACACAUGCUGGGGUCAAGCUGUACUUGUGCACCCUUCUCGGAGAAUUCCCAUCUCAUCCGCCACCAGAUGAUCCAUUCCGGGGAGAAACCUUUUAAGUGCAACGUGUGUGGCAAGCAUUACGGGGACAGCUCCUACCUCACGGUGCACCAGCGAGACCACAUGGGGGCUUGGCCUUACCACUGCACUCUCUCUGUGGCAAAGGCUUGGCCGAUCCUCACCUCUCAUUCGUCACCAGCAAGUACAACAGGGACCCAGCACCUCUCCCUGGAGUCAGACCUCGUCCCCGGGACGUUUGGACAGCAUUUGCCUGCCUAUCGGGGGAUGGGGACUCAGAACAAAUUCUCUCUCCUCAGAGGACAUCCACGUCACGGGCGCCAUCCUUUGCAUCAUCCGCGCUGUCCCUGCCGCCCCCUCCCUGGAUUGACCCUUGUUCCAUGAGGAUUUUGGGAUGGCAAUGGGGGAUAGAAUAAAAAAGGGCAGUCAAAUGGCAGAGAAGCAUAAUGGAGGUGAACCUGCUGGAAGAACACAGGAUUGGGUGUAUAGUGGAGAUCACCUUGAUUGCUAAGGCGAUCCGAUGGAGGAAUAACUCUUGAUUUUGUGACAGCUGAUGGACCACACCAGAAAGAUCGACGGAGGGUGGAAGAAGCUCUUGGCUGAGAUUAUUUUGUAGUUGGAAAUGAUGAGAGUUAGACAACUGGAGGGUCUUUGGCUUAUUCAAGUUGAUUCCAUAUAAUUGAUUAUUAGAACGGCACAACAGGAUCGUAUUCCAAAGCCAUGGAUCAAUUCCCCGAGUUACAAAAUUGAGUCCCUUGGUUUGGUUGGGGUAAUUAACUGCCGCGAGAGGGAUGUGUUGAUUGCUAAGGUAAUCUGUGGGGCAAUAAUUUGGUUUCUGAAGCAGCACUGAAAAAGAAGAAUGUUGUUGACCCAUCAGUUGAAUAGGAUAUUUGCUUCCUAGGGCCAGAAUAGGGUUUUUUUUGGCAGCAGGUAACUGAGAAAAGAAUGUUGCCUUGGUAUCCAGGUAACUAAAAUCAUGGAAAUCUUUAGUAAACCUUUGAUUGUUGAAAGAGGAAGAUAAAAAAAAAUGGCUAUGUCAUUGUACGUGAUUGGUUGUCAUGGUAAUAGAAGAACAUUACAUGGGUUGAUGGCUAAUGAAGUAGAAAGCAAGGAAUCUGACAACUAGCUUUAUUUAGCUGCUUCACCAAAGGUAGAACUUAAUUGAUUGAGAUGAAGUCCAUCAGUUUCUGUGGUUGUGCUUACAGAAACAUCAGCCUAUGCUUAAUGCUAUGUUUGCUGAUUUGGGAUCCAAAUGCAUCUUGGAAAUUGUCUGCUUUAACCAGUUUAUUAUAGGCAUCUAUCCCAAUCUGGAGCCUUCCAGGUGCAUAGCUCUACAACUCCCAUCGCUCUAGGUCAGCAUGGGCAGUCGCUAAGUUGCCCAAAUAAAAUAGAAAGUCAGGGGAAAGCUAUACUACACAGUUGUCAGGCUACUUCUGUUUGUAUCUAGAUUUCACCACUUUUGACUGGCCUUUUGGUGACGGUUAGGCUCAUGAGAAGGGAGAAGAUAAAUGAUCAUUCAACUCUGGUAUUGUCUACAUCAGAGUUCCUCAACUUUUGGGGGUUGGCAACCCAGAGUGUGGGGAGGGGGGGAAAAGGGAUGGUUUUAUGCGGGGGUGAACAUCUGCAACAUUCGCGCGAGCGGGGCACAAACAUGAUGCUCGUGUGAGUGGGGCCGCGAACACCCACAAUGCUUGUGAUGCUCGCGCAAGUGGGGCCAUGAACGCCUGUGAUGCUCAUGAUACGCGAGUGGGCAGCAAACAUCCACGAUGCUCAUGACACACAAGUGGGGCUGCAAACACCCACGAUGCUCUUAGUGACACUCGCGCGAGUGGGGCUGUGUGUGUGUACACAAAUGCGCACACCAGCCAGCCACAGAGGAAACGCAGUGGUCAAUAGGCCGUGGCCCGGUAGUGGUUGGGGACCCCUGGUCUACAUUGCUUGGUGGUAGAUCUUCAGGGAGGUUUUUUUUCCUUGACUGCAGAGUCCAUGGUGCUCUCCGAGCUUGGUUGUUUGCUUGCAGAUGUUUCGUUACCCAACUAG